GUCAUACUCUCUCCGUCCAACAAAAGAUGUCUCAAGUUUGUCAAAAUUUGAAUGUAUCUAAACAUGACUUAGUGUAUAGAUGCAUUCAAAUUUGGUCAAAAUUGAGACAUCCUUUGUUGGACGGAGUGAGUAUUAU
rnacentral:pre_miRNA from 1 species